rnacentral:rRNA from 1 species
GAUGAACGCUGGCGGCGUGCUUAACACAUGCAAGUCGAACGUGAUCCAUUAGCAAUAGUGGUGAAAGUGGCGAACGGGUGAGUAACACGUAGAUAACCUACCCUGAAGCGGGGGAUAACGAUUGGAAACGGUCGCUAAUACCGCAUGAGCCUAUUGAAGCGGGAGUGAGAUAGGGAAAAUUCAGGUGCUUUAGGCGGGGUCUGCGUCCGAUUAGCUAGUUGGUGAGGUAACGGCUCACCAAGGCGACGAUCGGUAGCUGGUCUGAGAGGACGAUCAGCCACACGGGAACUGAGACACGGUCCCGACUCCUACGGGGGGGCAGCAGUGAGGAAUAUUGGGCAAUGGGCGGAAGCCUGACCCAGCAACGCCGCGUGGAGGAUGAAGGCCUUCGGGUCGGUAAACUCCUUUGUACGGGGAAGAGGAAGGACGGUACCGUCGAUAAGUCACGGCGUAACUACGUAGCCAGCAG